CUGCUCUUCCCGCUCCUGGUCGGAAGCUCUAAUACAAAAGCCCUUUCACAGAGUCGGAAGUUGGAGAGCGCGGAGCCGAGUUCCCCGAGCGGCGCCUAAGCUUCCUUCUAGAGAUUUGGACGGGGAUGACCUGACCCCUCCCCCAUACUGGAUAAUGGCGGACCUGCCUCCCAGUGCUCCACCAGGACUGGAGGCCGCCUUAAUGCCCAAUCCAGGGCCAGGUGAAGUCCUGCAGCAGCCACUGCUCCUCUGCCAGCUCUCCCCGAGGUCGUAGAGCCGCCAUCUCGGCAGGUUCCGAACCCGGUGACAGAAGCCUCUGGCCAACACUUCCAGGAUCCUGCUCCAGCUGAACUGCCCAAGCUAUACCCGCCUCUCCCUUAAAGUUGCAGGUAUUGUCCCUUGGAUCCAUCAUACGAGGGUGAAGAGAACAUACUACACAGACCCAAAAAAUGCUGAGUGGACUGCACAGAGGGACCUCGCUGAUCCUUGAGAGACUAAGACCAUCUUUAAGAAGAAGGAAAUGAGAUCCUGGACGAGCCCCUUUAGGAUGAAGCCGCACAAUCAACUCCUGCUGCUUGGCCUCAUCAACAUGAUUUUGAAUUUAACUUCUGUUUCAACUCAGGACAAUGUUUUCAUCUAAUGGGCACAUCCUAUGCAGACUUCCACAACACUUCGAACUGCUGGGUAUGUAGGGCUAUGCCUUUGUCAGUGAUGGAUGGACUUCCUUGGUGGGUGUCACCGUUCUGCCAAGGAGAUUUUAAACCACUCUGCUCUUUUCUGGGAUGACAAAAAGAGACUUUCCUCUCUCUUGUUAAUCAUAACCUCUCCUUGCUCUCUUGGUGUAAGACCUACAGUCAAUAGACUCGGGUCAUGGGGUUACAUUUGAUAUAAAUGCCAGUGUAACAAAAGCCUAACCUACAACAACUGGUAAAUCUACCUUAUUUAUAUGCUAGGUGGACAAGAUCCGUGUUUCAGUGGUAUGAGUAUAUUGCUGCCUUAUUUUUACCCUCUAUAGGGACAACAGAUAUCAUGAUUAAAGUAGAGGCCUUGACUAAUUUCACAAAACAGGUCCUCCUAGAUAGAACAAAAGCCAUCCAAGCCUUAAAUGAAGAGCAACUCCAAAUGAGAAAAGCUGUAAUUCAUAAUAGAAUGGCUUUGGACAUACUCACAGCUGCUCAAGGAGGGACCUGUGCUAUAAUUACAGUUGAAUGUUGUGAAUACGUUCCUGACUUAUCUGGCAAUGUAUCAACUGCUUUGGAUGACAUGAAAAACCAGAUAAAAACAAUGUCAAAUGAAAACAUUCCUUUCUGGACUUCCGUCCUAUCUUGGGUGAAGGGUGAUUGGUGGAAAACUAUAUUUUACCACUGUUAUAGUUGCCUUGAUAGUUCUGCUUUGUGGACCCUGAAUUUUACAAUGUAUUAUGAACUUUGUAACCUUUUGUUGAUGUCAUCCUCCCAAAUUGGUGGUCAGAGAGUCAGGGUGCAAUAUAUCCCUAUGAAUGAUGCUCAUAAUAUGAGUUAAGAGCAUCAAGAGGGGGGAAUGAAGAAGGAAUUCAUAGGGCCUGGACUCCAUCUUAGGCCUGUUCAUGCUGAUCAUGCUCAGCCACCUUUCCAAUAGAUGCUGAACUCUGUAUUUAGUGCCUAUGAAAA